rnacentral:sRNA from 1 species
CUGGCGACGUGGUCGGAAUGCAAUUGUAUCGGUAGCGGUAGCGACUGUAUCCCCGGAUUUCCCGCACUCUGGUUGCCAUCUGAAAACCAGACGCCGAUUGCCAGCCAAUGUCUGGGCAUCGAGUUGCGCUCAGCGUUCAUUGGUCAGCAGCGUGCCGGAAUCUUCUAGAGAAUCGUCCAGAGACCACCCUGAGAUCGGUCAAAAGGUAGCCGCAUGUCAAUUUGGUUCCCUCCCAUAAAUCUCACUUCUUUUGCCCGUAGUGUAUGCCAAGUUCGUUGUGGUUUUUCCGCGACCAAUUGCUCUGUUUGAUCUUUAAUUUGUGCGCUGCAAAUUUACGGCUGGCACUCCACAUAUGUACAUACGUUUGGUUUGAUUCAAUUGUUGCAAAUAAUAAGCUAUAAACCGAGCAAUAAUAAUAAGUAUAUUUCAUUUCUGCUACUGCCACUGAGACAGUUCGCACAGCUUUGUUUACGAUCUUAAACUGGCCGUAAAGGCGGAUACGUUUUAAGCCAUUUAGAUACUUAAUAACAGCCAGUUUGUAAAUAGAAUUACAUUCCACAGAGCAAUUUAUAUGAGAUAUAUUUUGUGAACCACCCAAAUUCGUAUCUUAUAUGUACACUCAAACCGAUCUUAGCUCAUUUGUUUGUUGGUUUUCUAAACGGGUUUUCGUGUGGGAAUGAGAACUAGAAUUCGAUGUGCGACCAGCUUGGAAAUUGCGCAACCUUACAGAGUUAGCUGAGUCUACUCACGAGUGGAUGGCCAAGACCUCCCAUUGAUCGAUCAGGUGCAUUUUGGCCAAGACAAAGGGGGAAGUCCUGCUUAUCAAUCGAAGAUCUACGACUUGGCUGAGGUGGCGUGACAAAUCGAACUGACACCAUUUGGAGUUAAGAUUGGCAAAAGUAUAAAGCACAGAUCUUGAUUGGAAGCUUUCAUUUGAUGCCCCAUGCGCUUUGUUAUUGCGGCCGCAAGGUUUCCAUUUAUAGAAUACUACGCAUUUCAAUUAAUGAAAUAGUCAUAAUUAAAUUAAAGAGUCGCCAGCACGAGUCGUAUAACAAUAGGGUAUUCAAACAGUCCGAGAUUACGCAGAUACAUUAUGUACGUAUGUAGUAUGUAAAUACGCUCCAUGUGCGCAGGGUGCUAUUUACAGAGUAACUCGAGACCAUGUCGUCAUAUAGAUUACUCGCUUUAUCAAUGCAGCCUCCCGUUUUAGUUUUAUUGCAUUCUCAUUGUAGUCCACAAAAGUUUCCACUGCACAGCCAUAUAAAUACAUAUAACCAUAUAUAUAUAGAUUUAUAAACAUGCAUAUAUGAGUUGGUGGUACUCGUAUAUACACAGCGCAUGUUUCAUGUGCAAAUUGAACUAGCAGGUCAGGCGAGGACAUAUUGGGGCCAUCGGGCCGCGAUACAGACACAUUCUUUGUGGAUGCAAUCUGCUGCACUUUUGCAGCUUCCACUGGGCCCGUCUGUCAUCCGUCAUCUGGCCAGCGAGAUCUGGGGAUUGGAGUGAGAGGCCUCGUGUUCACUUCCAAUUACACUCAAUUACCGAAGUCCGUGUCCCAGCAACUCUGAUCUCAAUUGCUGAAAGGCUGGGAGUUAUUUUUGGACCACCCCAUCCCUCCCAGGGAAUGGGUCAGGUGAAUCACUGCUCCAACUAUGGGCAGACCAUUUGAAGUGGAGCACUCGGAUCCUCCGGGCAAAGUGCAUGUGGCAUAUAGUUUAUAGUAAGUCUGUGGCGUGUGGGAUAGUCCCAAUUCUGAUUGCUGAGCACGCGGCCAAUCAGUCAGCGGGCCAUCAAUCAACUGAUCGCGUACUUAACGCCUGUGCGCCGCUUGAUUAAUUUAAUCAUGUGUGAUUUGCGACUGUUUGGUUUACUUGGCGAGCGCAAACAGCACAUAAAUAAAUAUCGGAGUCUAUAGUGAAUGAAUAGUGGAUAAUGGCGCUGGAAAUUCGAUAGCCAGAUAGUGCUUAUUUGUCUAGUGGUUGUACAUGCUGGGGAAAAGUCAACAAACGAAAUCGAGAAGGUAAACAAAUACAUUGUUAGUUGUUAGACAAUAACAGAAUUAAUUGCACAGACCUCUCGUAAGAUUUCCUAUUAUUAGCAGUUCAUUUGAAAUUCAGAUUAUCAUAAUCCUACGUUCGCUGUACUCCUAAGUUUAUGAAUUGAUCUUGUUUAAUUUGAUUCGAAAUGUAGUUUAAUCUGGUUGCGAAACUGGUAUUAUGAAGAUUUUGAAAAUAUUUCAUGCGAAAUGAAUUUGGAUCUAAGCACAAGGAUGUUUAUUUUUGUAACUUACGAAAUGUAAAUGUACUGCUAUUAAGUAUAAUAUAUUAUCUGACAAUUUAAA